rnacentral:rRNA from 1 species
GAUGAACGCUGGCGGCGUGCCUAAUACAUGCAAGUCGAGCGAACGGACGAGAAGCUUGCUUCUCUGAUGUUAGCGGCGGACGGGUGAGUAACACGUGGAUAACCUACCUAUAAGACUGGGAUAACUUCGGGAAACCGGAGCUAAUACCGGAUAAUAUUUUGAACCGCAUGGUUCAAAAGUGAAAGACGGUUUUGCUGUCACUUAUAGAUGGAUCCGCGCUGCAUUAGCUAGUUGGUAAGGUAACGGCUUACCAAGGCAACGAUGCAUAGCCGACCUGAGAGGGUGAUCGGCCACACUGGAACUGAGACACGGUCCAGACUCCUACGGGAGGCAGCAGUAGGGAAUCUUCCGCAAUGGGCGAAAGCCUGACGGAGCAACGCCGCGUGAGUGAUGAAGGUCUUCGGAUCGUAAAACUCUGUUAUUAGGGAAGAACAAAUGUGUAAGUAACUAUGCACGUCUUGACGGUACCUAAUCAGAAAGCCACGGCUAACUACGUG